rnacentral:rRNA from 1 species
ACACUCCUGCGGGAGGCAGCAGUGGGGAAUUUUGGACAAUGGGCGAAAGCCUGAUCCAGCAAUGCCGCGUGAGUGAAGAAGGCCUUCGGGUUGUAAAGCUCUUUUGUCAGGGAAGAAACGGUGAGAGCUAAUAUCUCUUGCUAAUGACGGUACCUGAAGAAUAAGCACCGGCUAACUACGUGCCAGCAGCCGCGGUAAUACGUAGGGUGCAAGCGUUAAUCGGAAUUACUGGGCGUAAAGCGUGCGCAGGCGGUUUUGUAAGUCUGAUGUGAAAUCCCCGGGCUCAACCUGGGAAUUGCAUUGGAGACUGCAAGGCUAGAAUCUGGCAGAGGGGGGUAGAAUUCCACGUGUAGCAGUGAAAUGCGUAGAUAUGUGGAGGAACACCGAUGGCGAAGGCAGCCCCCUGGGUCAAGAUUGACGCUCAUGCACGAAAGCGUGGGGAGCAAACAGGAUUAGAAACCCCAGUAGUCCCAUGAU